rnacentral:misc_RNA from 1 species
GUAGGUGAACCUGCGGAAGGAUCAUUACCGUGGGGCUUCGGCCCCAUUGAGAUAGCACCCUUUGUUUAUGAGUACCCUUGUUUCCUCGGCGGGCUUGCCCGCCAUGAGGACAUUAAAAACCCUUUGUAGUAGCAGUAACUUCAGUUAAUAAUAAAUAUUAAAACUUUCAACAACGGAUCUCUUGGUUCUGGCAUCGAUGAAGAACGCAGCAUCUGACUGACUGGAACUAG